UAAUCCGCUGAAGGUAGAUUAAAUCGUUCAUUCUUACAUUCCGUUGACACUGCAUUAUUAGCUUCUAUAUGUGAGCCUUGCAGCUUAGCUGAUUGGAGUGAACACAAUU
rnacentral:snoRNA from 1 species